rnacentral:tRNA from 1 species
GGGCGAAUAGCUCAGAUGGUUGGAGCGCCUGCCUUACAAGCAGGAGGCCGGGGGUUCGAGUCCCUCUUCGCCCACCA